AAACUGUCAAUCAAGUUCUAAAGUCCCGGAUGUAGCAAUGACGACCAAAGACAACGUAAGCCUCUGUCAUCAUCUGUCAAUCAUCACCAUGGCGCCUAAAUCAGACAGUCCUCUCUUCAUAUGUGGCUGCUGUGAAAGUAGAUGUCCCUUCACUGGCGCUAAGAUGCCCCAACAUGUUCCAGUAUGACAAUGUCCCAUGCACAAACUGAGCUCCAAGCAAAGGCAUGGGUUACCAAGGAUCACGUGGAAGAACUCGAGUGGCCUACACAGAGCCCUGACCUCAACCCCACUGAACACCUUCGGGAUGAAUCAGAACGCCGACUGAGACCCAGGCCUUUUGGAGCGUUCAGCAGUAUAAAUCACCAUGGACAGCAACAUCCAGCUGUACAGACCGGGCUAAACUGAGGGUGCCUGGAGUGGCACAUCUCUAUUCGUCUGUACAAAUAUGUGAAGUACCUCAUGAACCAGGGUUUGUAACUCACACCCUCACUUGCACUCACAUAGGUUUAGAAAGUGGAAUAUUCUCCACAAGAGGGAGUCAUUGACACAAGGGUCCCCCCCCCUUUGGAUCAUCAUGGGGCAAAAAUCAAACUUGUACCAGUGAUUCUAUGGACAAUUUUAUUUUAUGUUGUGUCAGGAACUGUGUAUUGCUACCUUCUUGAUCAGCCCAGUAAACUCUAUGGCACAGUGGGUCAUAUUUGAUAAUUGAUCAAGAAAAACAAAACCAAUCCAAGUUAUAAAGAAAAGAAAUGAAAAAUCAUAUCAGAUGAUAUGCUUGGAAUCAGCUUUCCAGAAAACUGAUUUAGGAUCAGAUUUUUUUUGUUGACGUGAACUUAUCCUUAAUGAACACCUGUAAUCUGAGAUGUUUAGUGCAUAUCAAAUUUAUGAUAAUAUACAGGUCUAUACAGUCAUGGGAAAAGGAAAGUACACUCUCACAUGUUUUCAUUUAUCAGCGCAUAAAUAACAAC